rnacentral:lncRNA from 1 species
CUAUUGAGGGCUACCGCGUCAACGGCGGCCCCGCUGGCGAGGGCCUGGUGAGUGCUUGCGGCAAAAGGGUUGGUGAUGUGUGAUGGGGCUGCGUAUGUACACGCUGCUGUGCAUAAUUUAGGUCAUGGAAUGAUAUAGCUUGUUGCUAACCUGAAUGCUUUCGUAACCCCAACAGGACAAGCUGCACCCCGGCGGCCAGUUCUUCGACCCCCUGGGCCUGGCUGAGGACCCCGAUGCUUUCGCUGAGCUGAAGGUGAAGGAGAUCAAGAACGGCCGCCUGGCCAUGUUCUCCAUGUUCGGCUUCUUCGUCCAGGCCAUCGUGACCGGCAAGGGCCCCCUGGCCAACCUGGACGAGCACCUGGCGUCUCCCUUCACCUCCAACGCCUUCACCUACGCCCAGAAGUUCACCCCUCAGUAAUGCCCCUUCACUUGGCUGGCAGCUGUUGAUGGCGCGUUUGCUGAUGGCAAAUUAUUUGGGUCAGAAGUGGUGUAGACGUGGCGUGGCCAGUUUAGUGCUACAUGUCUACCGUGUAUGACCCGCGUUUUCUUUCCAUCUCCCCUUCCCACCCAUCAUUGUUAUUCGGGACACACCGAACAAAAGCCCUCCACAUGCUCCUGAGGCUGUGAACGCCUCAGGUACCUAAGUGCGCUUGCUUGCCCCUAACUUGCAGCGGGCACGUGUAUGAUCUUGUGUCUUUUGUUUGGUAUGGUUUUUGUUUGUACACGUACAUACCGUGGACCGAGUGUGUGUGCAAAGGGAGCAGUUCGCAAGUUUGCGUGGCGAGAGGCAACCGAGAAGAGAAUCAACCCCCCCGCUUGCAUGGUGUCAAAGUGUGCUUCCUAAGGGUCUGGUAUUGGGCCUCGUGCACACUGUAACCAUGCCCCCAUCUCUCUUCGGCCGCGCUCCUCGUCCAUUGGAGAGAGGGAGGGAUGGAAGGUUCACCUCGAUGACAGGUCAGGACGUGUUGGCCAUUCUUCACACAGAUUCCAGUCAUCCCCUCGUUCGACCCUUACCUAAUUAGCAUGGGGUUGGCAGGCCUGGCUGCGCGAACUCACGGAACGUCGCCAUCAGGAAAGAGCGGAGGGUUGUCAUGCAUCGGCACGUAAGAUACCGCAGUUAUUGAGCAGUGUUGCGGAACUAAUGCGUACGUAGACCAGAGCGGAAGUUAUUCCGCCUGCGCGGUGCCUUGACGUGCAGCAUAC